rnacentral:rRNA from 1 species
GAUGAACGCUAGCGGCAGGCCUAACACAUGCAAGUCGAGGGAGGAGCUUUCGGGCUUCGACCGGCGUACGGGUGCGUAACGCGUAUACAAUCUGCCUUUCACAUAGGGAUAGCCCGAAGAAAUUUGGAUUAAUACCUAAUGGUAUAUAGAUGUGGCAUCACAUUUAUAUUAAAGCUGAGGCGGUGAAAGAUGAGUAUGCGUUCUAUUAGCUAGUUGGAGAGGUAACGGCUCCCCAAGGCUACGAUAGAUAGGGGUUCUGAGAGGGAUAUCCCCCACACUGGUACUGAGAUACGGACCAGACUCCUACGGGAGGCAGCAGUGAGGAAUAUUGGACAAUGGUCGGAAGACUGAUCCAGCCAUGCCGCGUGCAGGAAGACGGCCUUAUGGGUUGUAAACUGCUUUUGCAGGGGAAGAAUAAGGACUACGAGUAGUUUGAUGACGGUACUCUGCGAAUAAGCAUCGGC